GCCUACGGGGCGCAGCAGUGAGGAAUAUUGGUCAAUGGCCGGAAGGCUGAACCAGCCAAGUCGCGUGAGGGACGACUGCCCUAUGGGUUGUAAACCUCUUUUAUAAGGGAAGAAUAAAUGCUACGUGUAGCAUGAUGCCUGUACCUUAUGAAUAAGCAUCGGCUAACUCCGUGCCAGCAGCCGCGGUAAUACGUAGGGGGCAAGCGUUAUCCGGAUUUAUUGGGUUUAAAGGGUGCGCAGGCGGAGGCACAAGUCAGCGGUAAAAUCGCGGGGCUCAACCCCGCUCCGCCGUUGAAACUGUGUCC
rnacentral:rRNA from 1 species